CAUUCACUGGCACUUGCUGAAUGUUUCUGGAGACCAAAACGUGGCUGUGAGCACAGCGAGGCAGUGGGUGGUGCGUUUCAGCUGUGGUGACAAUGACGUGAAAGAUAAGCCAUGUUCCAGACGGUCAUGCAGAUUUUUAUGAGCGUUGCAUGCGAGCUCUUGCUCAUCACUGGUAGCUACUGAUGGUGACUAUGUUGAAAAACAGCAUUUUGUAGCUGAGAAUUUGCUCUAUCAAAUAGUUUAAUUAUGCUCUUUGUAUCUGUUGUAGUUUCCAUGGAAAUAAAUAGGAGGUAUUACUAUAUGUUUAACUCUGAAUUUUGUUGGCUUUGCAUAGCCUCCACAGGGUCACUAUAAACUACAAACCUUUGCAUAACAGGGACAUAUAACAGCAUCCAUGCAGCAGCUGCAGUAGAGACUGUUCAGUAGUUCCAGUAGCAACACUAGGCAUCUGUGGACAUCAGGAGAGAUAAGAACCUCUCCCCUUGUCCUAAAUGCUCAUGCAAUUGGUUUGUGUGGUGCCUGGCAGAGGAGGCUUUCCAGUUCCCAUCUUUAGCUGGGGAGCCUGUCCACUUUGGGGGAGCUACGAGCACGUGCUUGGGGCAGCAAGCUUACUGCUCCCAUCUACGGAGAGCAGGCCCCUAGCUGCAUCACAGCUCAGCCUGAGCAGCUGUGUCUGGCACAGGAGAUCAGGGAGCAGGACAGAUUCUUGGGGGCUAUGAGAGACUGAGAUACACAUCUAAGGAUAUGAGUGCACAGGGUGACAGACUGCUUCUACCUGGGAGUCUCACCCCGAGUGAGGAGACUCGGCACAUUUGGGUUGUUUAUUCAGCUACAUUAAGCAGUUUGAGAUUGUGAGCUAUGUGUUGUUGUAAAAUAACAAAUAGUGAGAAAACUAAGGUCAUAAUCUAAUGCAGUUUUUUCUCUAGCUCUGUUCUCUAUGCUGCUGUAGAAAACAAUUUAAGGCCCUACCUUUGCUGAGAGUGCUUCUGCCUUUCACCAUGCAGCAGGAUAAUGGUAGAAAAAUUUCUGACCAUUUCACCACAGCCCACGGGGUUUGAAAAUGCAGCACUGGGUCAUCUUCUUCCUUAUUUCUUACUAUGCAAGGGAAUGCUCUGAGAAACUGACAGACUCAGAAUUAAACCUCGGCAGCAGUUUAGGCUUGUCACAUGUUAGAAAAUUCUUCUUCAUAACCUUAAUUACCAGAAACAUUAUAUACAUCUUUUUUUCCAAGUUUGGAGCCUAGUGCUUUCUUGAAAAAUAAGAUUUCAAGCCUUUUUAGCAGACAUGUUCUCUGCACACAUUCAAAAACACAAUUAGUUGAACAAUAACAACAUUUCAAAUAAUUUUUCAUCUUUGACAGCCUUGGACAGUCAGCCUAGUUAAAACAAAUGUCUUGGGAUAGUUUGAUUAAAAACAUGAAGCUUCAUUCCACUUUUCAGACCAAGCUCUGUCCUCAGCUGAGUCUCUACUUCAAAUAUUUCAAUAACAGUGAGGAUGAACUUGAUUUUUGAAGGAAAACAGAAAUUCAGGGACCCAAAUAUAUCAUUAUGAUGACAAAACAUGAAAGAACUUAAACUCUUGGAGCCCACACUGUGUUUGAAGAGCUGCUAGUAUAAAAUUAUUUGUGUAAUCAUUUUUACCAAUAGGCUAUAGAAGUUGAAAAUGGAAAACAUGAGCAAAAAACAUGAAACUCCCCAAAAAUUAGAGGAAGUUUAUGAAAAGUCCUGAAGUUUCACAUUCGCAGACUUGCAUCCUGGGUCUUGAGGAUUACUGAGUAUGUUCAAUUUAAUUAAUUUUCAGUGCCUCUGUUUACUUAAUUGGCAAUAUCCUGCCAUUUUAAGUCAGAAUCUCAAAAAUAUCCUUCUAUCAGCAGUUUCAUCUGAUCAAUUUCUACAGCUGUUACACAGAAAGUCAUUGUACUUCCAAAAUUAAAGUCAAAGAUUACCAUUUCUAAAUCCUUAGGUUCACAUUUUGAAGAACAUUGGUUGAAAUGUCUUCCAUUUGGAAAGGCAGAAAUCCAAACUGCUUCUGAACCUGUAUGGCCUCAUGUCAUCCAUGGCAGUACAGACACAGUGAGGAACAGAAUCGGUGAUGGCCAGAUCGUGUCCUGAGUUUGCACUCACAUUAAAAUGAUAAAAAGACUCAGUAUCCUCUAAUAUCCUGUAAUAAAAAGAGCUACCGUGGGCUAUCUCUGACUCACAGUCAUCUUUGCUUCCUUCCAAAAUACAUAUUACACAAAAAGAUUUCCUAGCACAGAAAAUUGCUGUGUGAAGCACUCAGUACACAGAAAGUAUCAGUGUUAGUGUCUUUUGCUCCCCAGAUUAACACAGAUACUGCCCUCACACAUCUCCUCUUCUCUUCCAUGUCCCUAAGCAUCACAUCCACAAAUUUUUUAAAUACCUCCAGGGCAGAGACUCCACCACCUACCUGGGCAGCCCAUUCCAAUGCCUAACCACUCCUUGAGUGAAAAAAUUUUUCCUAAUGUCUAAACUUCCCCUGACACAACUUGAAGCCACUGUCUUGUGUCCUAUCGUUUGUCAUCUGAGAAAAGAGACAAGCACCUUCUUCAAUGCAACCUCCUUUGCAGAGAGUUGUAGAGCUGUAGAGAGUGAUGAGGUCUCCCCUCAGCCUCCUUUUCUCCAGAACAAACAGCUCCAGCUCCCCCAGCUGCUCCUCAUAACUCUUAUUUUCUGGUGCCUCCACCAGCUCUGUUGAUCUUUUCUGAGCAUGCUCAAGGCAACUCAAUAUCCUCGUAGUGAGGGGCCCAAAGCUAAACAUAAUAUUUGAUGUGUGAUCUCAUCAGUGCCAAGUGCAGAUGGACAACCACUGCCCUAGUGCUGCUGGCCACGCUGCUUUAGUGUGCAUCUCUCCUAGGAGAUCAUACUCACGUGACAGGUCUGCUUCGAGUGGCCUAGCUAGCUUAUUCAGGUGGUGACAUGAAGGCCUAGCUUGAAGGGACAUGGCUUUCUAGGAAGGAAAUCCAACCCAUCUUUGCCAGUACAUCAAAAUGAUGCAGGUUGUCACUGUGCUCCAGGAUCUGCUUCUGCCAGGAAAGUGAUCUGUUCCUUACCAUCUCGGAUAGGCAAACCCACUUUCUCUAGCAGAUGACACAUCUCUUUGCAGGCAACUUUGAUACACUGACAUUUUCCAAAAACUUUUCCAGGAGGCAGUAUCCUAGCAUGGAAAGUAUUGAAUUAAGUUGGUGAUGUUUGCCAUAAGCAAAACAGUAUGACAUACGGCAAAUUUUGACUGAGUGUGACUACUGAUCCCUUCACCUGACACAUUUAAAUCAACAUCCAUCGCAUGGGUGUCCUACCUUUUGGCUUGCUUGGGCCACACUGAGUGAAUAGGAAUUGUUUUGGGCUGCCUAUACAUAAGUUGUUCUGAAAGUAAUGCCUCCUAUUUAUUUCCAUGGAAACUACAACAGAUAGAAAGAACACUGUAAUAUUAUUUAAUAGAGCAAAUUCUCGCUAUUUUUCAGCAUAGUCAUGACCAUUAGCUGUGCAUUUUUGCCAGCAAUGAACAAGAACCUGCAUGCAGCACAGACUGCAGCAAGCUCUCAAGGUGCUUGUCAGAGAGUUUUAACGUAAUGUUACCCUUCCUGCACUUUAUCCUUGACAAUAAUUGUUCAAAAUGUGCAUAAUGCCAAAAACCAGUGACAUUAUUAAUAAGAUGUGACCGUGAAGUGAUGACUUUAAUUUUGGAGGAGAUAUCAAGAAUAUAAAUUAGAUCACAGGCUACCCAACAGAUGCAGUGUCUGGAAUGUGUAUAUGUUUAUAAUCGUAUUACUAGAAGAUUACUUCAUCGAUUUUUAUUCUUACCUGAUUUCCUCAAAACUAGGAAACAACCUAAGUAUGUAGGCUUUUCAGUGCACAAAGGGGCUUUACAAAAAUUCUCCUUUUGUCAAAUUCUAUUUACUGGCUCAUUAAAAAAGCACUACCUUCCCCCAUAAAGGCUGCCUCUUUUAUGAUAAGAAAUCUGAAGAAUAGAUUUGUGGACCUUGAAACACUGAAGUCCUCAACAAAUGUCCUGCUGUGUGUAUGGAAUGAAUUUUAGCUCUUUUCCCUCGCUUUUUAUUUCUGACUUAAAAGAGCAGCCCUAAUAAGGGAAUACCACAGACAUUCCAUGAACAAAAUUUCCUUGUUUGGUAGAAGCAGUGUUAUUUCAAAGUAAAAACAUUUACUGAAAUGCCUGCAUAUAGUUCAGUCUUUUUUUUUUUUUUCCUCUGGCUUAGUUUAGCCCUUUACAACUCUUUUCUUGUAUCAGCAGCAGGAAUCUGGUGAUGGACCGAACAAAGGAAAAGCUUCUGCAGCCUGCUCUGUGUGCACCAUACUUCCCUUCCAGAGGACAAAGCAGACCCUAGGUAUAUAACCAUAUACAUAAACAUAACCUGGAAUGCUAAACUGUAAUACAGGGCAGCACACAGGAGUACAAAACCUUCUUGUACAACCGGGUAUGGCAAUUAUGACCUUAGCAGCACAGCAGGAGUGGUGGGCAUGACAAGGAAUAGAGAGCAAGAGAAUGACAUGCAGCAAUACCUAUCUGGGAAGAAAACCUUAUGCAGAACCAUAAUGAUUUGUAAAGCUGCCUGGUAAUGACAAAACAGCACAGAGCAAUCGGCAUCACACAGAAAUAUACUGAAUAACAGGCGUGCCAUCUUGAGAAGAUGUGAAGAAAGAUAAAAGCCUAAGUUACCUCCACCUAUUUUCUUCCAUUCCACAGGGUAAAAGGGAAAUUUAUUUUGGCACACUUCUGGCUGGGCAACAACUGCAGGUGUCUGUAAGGUUAGGCCAUUUUCUAGGGGAAAAAGAAUAUAUAAACAAGCCUAUUUGUACUAACAGCAAGAAAGGCAAUCAGCUAGCACUCUAUUAUGAGGGACUAACUAGGAGAGUAUUUGGUAAUACUAGAGGAGACUGCAAUGAAGGAAACUCAAUAUCAGCACUGGAAGUGUGAACACUUUACACCUCUGUGGCAAAGCAUGCAAAGAGAUGUUUUGGUUGACUAUUUAUGCAGGAACCUGGCUAAAAACAGCAGUGAACCCAGUAUUUCCACUCAUGAGAAGAAAUACGAUAUAGUUGGCGUUACUGAAACUCACUGGGAUGACUUGCAAAAAGUUAAACUCAUGCAGUGGGCAGCAGAGAAUGCACGAAGAAGGUAGAGUGGCCGGCCACCCUCUUCAAGGGACAGCAUUACCAGAUCUAGAGGUAAGUCCAAACAACAGGAGAGGGGAUGCAAACGUAUUUCUGUGUGGCUGGCGAAGGCCAAAAGGGUGUAUGAUUACACUUUUUUGAUCCAUUGAAAAGCACGGAUGUGAAGAAAAAUAGAUUUGUUCCUUGAGAUGAGUGGUAGAAGUUUCAUGAGGCCACUACUGAAAUGUCUUUGAUAAUUAAUGAUGAUGACUUUCUAAGAACAAAGGAUAAAAUAACUAAAUUCUAUAGGGAAAGAAAAAUAAUGUCUGCAUUGAAGGUGGUGGCUAUUCUACGGUCUGAUUACACUUAUUAGCCAGGAGACUCCCAUUUAGAAAUAUAUAGUUCAACUUAAUCUCAUCCAUCCACGUGGUGUUUCAAAGAAAACAUAAUAAAAAAGGCUUAUGAACCAGUACAAAAUACUUUCCCUGAUUUUUUUAAGAAGAUCUUGAUUUGUAGAAAACCAAGUAUAAGCACACCAAAUGGGUCGCCUGCAACCAAAGGGGGAUGGGGAUGCAGCUGUCUCGGAAAGAGCGAGCCUCCAAGUGCCUUUCAGUCUGACUUGAGUGCACUUCAAAAUGCAGAUUUAUUUUUUCUAUGCUCCCAGAGUAAAAGAUUCUGCUCGUAGCUCAGAGGGACAAGACUUUCCCCUUGGCACUGUUGAAGGUGACAUCUCCGCUAGUCCCUCUCUGUCUUUCUCACUUUUUAUCCAAUUCUGGUUCUAAGAGAAAUGCAGCAUUACGAUCUAUACGGAAUUUGAUCGUGAUGCCAUCCUCUCAUCCCCUUGUUUUCUGUUUUCCCCACUUGGUUCUUGAAGCGGGGCUGCAAAAUGGAAACGCAGCAGACAGGCUUCCUCCUGCCACCUGAGGGCUUCGGCUGCUCUUCCCACACAGCCCCUCUACAACCUACGUUUCGAACCAAAAUCCUUUAUAAGUCAUUUAUGCCAGGAGCAAUUCCUGUACACACUCAUCGUUUCGUGCUUGCGGCUGCUUUCCCUACAGACCGCAGCUGCAGGUGGCGGACUUGACAUUUAGAACUCUUCUCACUUUCUUCCUCCUUUUCUCUGCCUUCCCACACGAAAGUGAAGCUGUGAGCUUACCUAAACCAGAUGUGAUAACGUUCCGGUUUUUAUGGGAUGUUUGCUUUAGCACCAUAGGGCCAUUUGGAUUUAAUUAAAUUCCCACCACGCUGCGGUUAUCAAGCGCGCGUCGAGAGAGCCGAGGAGCUGGCUAACCAAGGCCAGCAGGCAAAGAGGACGGGAGGGAUGUGGGAUUCCCCCGGCAGACGCGGCCUGCCUCCGGCUCUUCCCGAAGCCGCAGGGAGCGCACCUUCUCGAGCCUGCCACGAAGAGAGAGGCUGCUGCCUAGUGGCGGCCGAGGGAACGGGGAGGGCUGGCGGAGCUCGGUCCGGUUUAGGUACGACGCCUCCGACCAAAUCAAAAACGUAGCGGCUACGUGACACGGCGCUGAACAGCGGGACGCCCUCAUUAUGCCGGCUUAAGCCUGCUCCUAAAUUUGUGAGAAGGUAACUUUAUCCUGACAAACUGCGUGCUGGACGGAGUACCGCGUGUCUGCCCCGCUCCGUGUCAGAUGGGGUAACGCUCGCUGCCCUGCAGCCGGCACGAGGAGCAUCAGCGCUUCGCUAACACUGUGUCGUGUGCAGCAGCUCAUUCAUCCGAAAUGCGAUACUUGCUCCUGGACCAUCAGGACCUGAUAGCACAGUAACGAGCAGACUGAAAGAAGAUCCGAUUACUGUGUAAAUGAUACCGCGGUCAGAAAAUACUGUAGGAUACUACGGGGCGCUUUAAAUUACCGCAGAGCAACAAACAGUAAGCGUCACUGGGAGGAAAUCAAGGGGAGACAAAUUCAAGCACAGUGCUUUAAUCACGGCAAGUGACAGCGGAAGAUUUCACAAGACUGAACUACCGGAGGAAACAGUAGAUUCUCUGUAGAAUAACUGAUGGAUUUUCCGUCUCGGAAAGCUGUCAGACCGAGACUGGGAGGUACUCUGAAUAUCUGCUUCAGACAAAGGCGAGCUUCUGAGGCAGCAAAGCUGGGCUGACGGACAGGAAGGCAGAACAGCCAGCACAGCGGCCCUUAAGAAUCUCUGCUUCUGUCAUAGCCUGUAAUAUUCUAUAAUAUUCCUUCUGAGCACAGCUCUGUUUGAAACUCCCCUUCCAAAAGUUUAUUAGGUGUAGGAGAUCUGACAAAAUUAGGAACAAGAGCUUCCCUGCAGAGACUAAGAUGUUGCCAAAAUAUGCAAUGAUACAUGAGGAAACUUUUCCCUGUACAAAAGGGGGUAUUUUCAUACAAGCAUAAAGUAAUGCUGAAACAGACGUCAGGUGAUUGGUAGGAAAAGUAGGAAUAGAUCAGUGGGACAUAUUUGUAACUAAGAGCAGAACAUCUGUAUUCAUGUCACGGUUUUAAAGUCAGAACUGCAGUAGGCUACCUCCACUGAGAUACUGUAACUUUGUUAUUGAACAAUUAUAUAUUCUAUUUUAAUCGUGAAAGUAUUUAAAGCUGUUGUUCGUUUAUUUCUAGUAAAGAUAAUUAGUUGAAAAAAUAUGAAGAUAAGCUAUGGCUGUUAUAUCACAGUGCUGAACCUCUUCUCAAAUACACCUGUGAAAUGCCCUAAGCCAGAAAAACUCCUCAUUUUCUCCUUUUCUUGCACUUCUGCAUAACAAAGGAGCACUAAUACACACCACAAUACUUCAAAUAUUAAUUGGUUUGAAAGAAUCUCGGAAUGCUUUGCGUGAGAGGAAGCUGCACGCUGUAAGAAUAACACCAGAGCAACGUGCAAUAUCAGAAACAAAAUAGGUUGCUUUAUAGACUUGGCUAAAUGAGAGCUUUCGCUUUUACAAGGGAAUAAGCAUCCUUUGGCCACAGGUGAGAAGAGCCCCUGAAUUAUUUGAGAAAGAAAACAUAGGGAAACACGGGGCUUCUGCCCAAGCCUGGCAGCAACAACGGCAAGAAGAGCCCGGCUCAGGGAUGGGCGCGUACCGCUAGGGCAGCACGUCUUUCACGCGUCCGGUGGUGCUCAUUCAUCUUUGUUUCUGAAACAACCAGAAACCCACGAGAACAGUGGAGUGCAUUAAACUAAACGUGCAACAUAUCUAUUUCUGGGAGCGCAGUCUGCGUGGCAUGGGUAGCAUCUUCCAGCUGAUUUAGCACAGCAACGAAAAGACAGCGGCGGUGAUACAUCUGCCAAAUAUUUUAGCGCUUGAAACCAUCUUUUUUCCUGGUUUAAAUGUAUUCCCUACAGCCAAUACUGAUUUAUUUCUGUCCCUGACUGCCGUAGAGACACCGCAGCCGGACUUCCAGCACUGCGAUUACAGGUGCUUAUAAAGAUGUUGGUUUCACCAGUCCAAAGGAGCACCAGGCGGUGAAGAAUCUGCCCUGAAGAUCUUAAGCCAGCACAAUCAAGUUACAAAAGGAGAUGCCAAACAUGUCUAAAAGGCUGAAAGACAAGAAACACUCAAGAGGACAAGAACCAGACCUGAAGGAAGAUCGAAAAGCUGUCUAGGGAAUAUCUAUGCUAGGACUGUACAGGGAAAGGAAUAUGAAAGGAAGAUGGAAAUGUGGUCACAGCAGCCUUUUGCCCAUUCCUCGCUAGCUGCUGCACCUGUGCAGGGAAUCUCACACAGAGCCAUAUGGAGAGGCAUCUGUAUCACUGGUCCUGGCUCCAUGACAAGGGGACAGCAGCGUCCCCCGACACACACCUACCGCUCUCUAUCACACGCAUAAGCUGUGCAACUGUUUGCUUGGCUCAGAGUUGACAUUGUCUUGCCAUUUAUGAAAUCAAUAAAAGCUUUUUGUUUG